UACGUAGGGACCAAGCGUUGUUCGGAUUUACUGGGCGUAAAGGGCGCGUAGGCGGCAUGACAAGUCACUUGUGAAUCUCCGGGCUUAACUCGGAACGGCCAAGUGAUACUGUCACGCUAGAGUGCAGAAGGGGCAAUCGGAAUUCCCGGUGUAGUGGUGGAAUGCGUAGAUAUCGGGAGGAACACCAGUGGCGAAGGCGGUUGCCUGGAGCUUUGCUGACGCUGAGGCGCGAAAGCGUGGGGAGCGAUCCGG
rnacentral:rRNA from 1 species